AACGAACGCUGGCGGCAUGCCUAACACAUGCAAGUCGAACGAGAUCCUUCGGGGUCUAGUGGCGGACGGGUGAGUAACGCGUGGGGACCUGCCCAGGGGUACGGAAUAACUACGGGAAACUGUAGCUAAUACCGUAUGAUGCCGAAAGGCCAAAGAUUUAUCGCCCUUGGAUGGACCCGCGUUGGAUUAGCUAGUUGGUGAGGUAAUGGCUCACCAAGGCGACGAUCCAUAGCUGGUUUGAGAAGAUGAUCAGCCACACUGGGACUGAGACACGGCCCAGACUCCUACGGGAGGCAGCAGUGGGGAAUAUUGGACAAUGGGGGCAACCCUGAUCCAGCAAUGCCGCGUGAGUGAAGAAGGCCUUAGGGUUGUAAAGCUCUUUCAGAUGGGAAGAUAAUGACGGUACCAUCAGAAGAAGCCCCCGGCUAACUCCGUGCCAGCAGCCGCGGUAAU
rnacentral:rRNA from 1 species